UCGGUCACAUCGUCAUAUUCCAAAAAAGGAGGAAAUUAGUGGCAUUAAAAUGAUUUCUGGAAACAAAUAGGCUUCGUAGACUCGGAAAAUCGUAUAACGGCAAGAACGUUGUACGUCGCUCCUCGAAAUAGAGCGUCUGCUAAAUGCUUUGAAACGUAAUGUCAUGAAAGAGGUGUGGUCCAGAAUCAAAAUAGUCUCGUGGAAGAACGGUUCUUUACGGUACACUUCACAGUUGAUUUUUGGUCGUCGGUCCAAGGUCUUCGAAAAGGAAACAAACAUGACUGCAAAAAUGAACACAUCUCUGAUAAUAGGCUUGGGGUUCUUUUUUGCGACCUUUAGCUUGGGAUCAACCCUUCGCUGCUACAAAUGCUCAGGAUUUAAAAGCUGUUCAGCUGUCCAGGACUGCGGCAGGCAGGAUGCCUGCCUGACACUAAAAGAAAAAGGAGGGAAGACCAUUCGUCAGUGCUUCAAAUCGUCAGCCUGUGACAGCGCCCUCCUGAAUUUGAUAUUUCCUGGGCAUGGAUCCACAUUCAAUUGCUGCACCUCUAACCUGUGCAAUUCCAGUCCUGCUAUCUUGAUCAACAGGUCUUUUCUGGGACUGCUGGCAUUAUUUGUGAUAUUUUGGUGCUACCUGAUUUGAAAUCUUUGAUCUAACAACAAGGCAAAAAUCCAUGAAACCAAUUACAGUGGCUUGACAUGAUAAUAUCGCUUUCAUGCAAACCGUACCUUGCAUACAGUAUAUUUGCAUACAGUAUAUUUAGCAUAUUUUACAGUCACUCUUGCAUACAGUAUAUUUUGCAUAUUUUACAGUCACUCUUGCAUACAGUAUAUUUCCCAAUUUAUGCUUGGAAUUAUUAACUUCUUAACUACAUUCAUAAAACCAAAUUUACACAAUUGCACACAAUUUCAGCGUCUUUUCACCGAGGUAAUUACAUUUCUUCCACACAGACACUUGGGGCACUCUUUUUUUAUUGACUCUUUAUUGAAAUGCUUCAUGGAAGGACAGUGUGGCAAACGUGAGACUGUGGGAAAUGAGAUGUAUUUUUGAGAAAAUAAAUAUAGUUUUGAUUAUAUCCAUGAGGUAUAUCCAACCAUG